AUAUCAAUAAGCGGAGGAAAAGAAACCAACAGGGAUUGCCCUAGUAACGGCGAGUGAAGCGGCAACAGCUCAAAUUUGAAAUCUGGCUUCGGCCCGAGUUGUAAUUUGCAGAGGAAGAUUCUGGCGACGCGCCGUCCGAGUCCCCUAGAACGGGGCGCCAUAGAGGGUGAGAGCCCCGUAUGGACGGAUGCCUAGCCUGUGUGAAUCUCCUUCGACGAGUCGAGUAGUUUGGGAAUGCUGCUCAAAAUGGGAGGUAAAUUCCUUCUAAAGCUAAAUAUUGGCCAGAGACCGAUAGCGCACAAGUAGAGUGAUCGAAAGAUGAAAAGCACUUUGAAAAGAGGGUUAAACAGCAC
rnacentral:rRNA from 1 species